rnacentral:rRNA from 1 species
UGAGGAAUAUUGGUCAAUGGACGAGAGUCUGAACCAGCCAAGUAGCGUGCAGGAUGACGGCACUAUGGGUUGUAAACUGCUUUUGUUUGGGAAUAAUCGACAUUACGUGUAAUGUUUUGCAUGUACCAUUCGAAUAAGGACCGGCUAAUUCCGUGCCAGCAGCCGCGGUAAUACGGAAGGUCCAGGCGUUAUCCGGAUUUAUUGGGUUUAAAGGGAGUGUAGGCGGUUGGUUAAGCGUGUUGUGAAAUGUAGAUGCUCAACAUCUGACUUGCAGCGCGAACUGGCUGACUUGAGUACACACAACGUAGGCGGAAUUCAUGGUGUAGCGGUGAAAUGCUUAGAUAUCAUGAAGAACUCCGAUUGCGAAGGCAGCUUACGGGAGUGUUACUGACGCUUAAGCUCGAAGGUGCGGGUAUCGAACAGG